CUCUAUACAAGCUAGGCAUCUCACCCGGCCGGAAAGAAAUAUAUACAAGUUAUUAGAGGCAUCCUUUGGGCCGGCAAUCCAUCCGCAGUUGAUUUGGCAUCAUGGAACCUUAGCCUCGGGGAACACGCAAGGCAUAAUAUGCUGCGUGGAAAAAGCACACACUUGUGUAAGUAAGAAAAAGGGUAUCAUGGUGGUGCUAAAGCAGCUGCUCGUCGGUCAUCUACUCCCAUCUCCUUCCUCUAAAUCAUUGCUUCUUACCCUCUCCUGAUGCAGCAACCAAGCAUUAUCCCGCCACGGAGCGCACCUAGCAUUGUUGUUUCCGCACGAAGCUUCCUCUGCUCUGCUUCGUUCCGAGGAAAUAAAGAGCUGGCAUAUAUAAGCCUUGAUUAAUUAGCCAAUCUCUGCCAUUUGUACGCAGAGCGCUCGAUUGGCAUUUCAGCUCGAUCAAUGGACAAGCAGAAAUGCAGCUCUGCUGCAUCGGAGAGCUUCUCUAGGCACGUCACUGGGCAGUUGUUCCGAGUCAAUGCUCUCCUUUUGGUGAACACCAUCCUGAUGGGGGUCAUUGUUAUGGCGCUGCUAGAAGGAGGGCGCGAGAGGGCCUGCCGGGGGCCUUUUUGCCCACGGCCGGGCAAGAGGGAAGGGAUUUUAUUCUUAAUUCUUGCUUGAUUAGAUUGAUACAUCUCCUCUCAUUAUAUAGAGAGGUUUACUUGACUCCCAAGUAAGGUUUACUUGACCCCUAAGAAAGCGACUCUUAUCUCUAAUUAACCCU